ensembl:snoRNA
AUCCUUUUGUGGUUCAUAAGCAUGAUGACUGGGUGUUCAUGCUCAAGUGUGAGAUACGCUGCCUUAAACCUUGUUAUGGUGUCAGCACAUCACUCAUCUGAUG